UAAACCGUAUAAAAAUAUUGUAAAUACUAAUUACUACCACAUUUAAUUAUGUAGUCUUACUGUUGAAGAACACCAGCGACGAUUAGCUUCAAGAAGCAGCACAAAAUCACAAUCUAGAAGAAACGGAAUUUUUAUCAGACCGGUAAUUCAAGUAGAAAAAGUAUAUUUUUAAACUUCUUAAGUUUAGGAAUAUCUAAGAAUGGGAAUCUAACGAAACUUUCACGACGGUCCUGCGAAGAAUAGAACAUCUGCAUCCAGCUCAUCCUUAUAUACGACGCAUACAGGGUGAUCCUAAGAAUCUUUGAGCCAUCCUCUAUUGGGUAGAAUAUAGAAGUAUCCAAAGUUGAUUCUACAACAUGGCAACCGAGUAUGUCCGAUUUUUGCCGAGUCGAUUCAAAGUUCACUCUGAUGUCUUGUGAACGUGAACGACAUAGUUCACCAUUUUCUUCAAAUGUACAACUCCUAGCUGAAGUCUCUAUUGUCUAUUUCCUAAAGUCCUAAAUAAUCUGUGAACAUAUUACUUGAUUAAUAUAGUCGUUUUGAUUAAAUCUUGUGUGGUAUGAUUCAAACUUUUCAGUUACCCGGUAUAUACGAGAACGUUCACUUACAUUUUUUGGGUCCUCCUUGAUAUAUCGGGGGAUGCGCAACGUGAAGGCGUGGGAACGUCAUCACCUGUGCCGAUGUGCCUCAGCUUCUGAUACAAUAGCGACAAAUCACUUGUAAUCUAGUAUUAAUUAGAAAAUAAAAAAAUUGGAAUAUUUAA
rnacentral:lncRNA from 1 species